UCUGAUUUGAGUAGACUGUUUGGAGAUCAAAAACAAAAACAAAAGACCCUCCCCUUAUACUUCCGACAACUUAAACUCUUUGCCCUAGUGAGAUCCCAAAUUACAUGCACAGGGUGUCCCACAUGCCUCCGGUGAUCCCCAAGAAGAACUUGAAGAACCAUCCCUUAUAACUUGAUGAAGACUCCUAAAAGCCCUGAUUCAGAUGUAUUCAUCACUCAUCGAACAACUAUGGAUGGCUGGGGGCACAACUAGAUGGACAUACAUUACGUUGUGCCUCAUGCCUCACAGAUCCCAGCACGUGGACUGUGUACAGGGCAUUUCUGCUGAAGCGCUAUGUCUGAUUUACUGCAUACAGCCCCAUUCCUUCUCCACAAGAGACGUCUGUACCAACCCAUGGUGGGGGAAAGGACAAAGAUGAGAUCCUGAGAAACUUGAGGAAUAUGGUAAUGGCAGCAGACACAUUCCCCUUGCAUCACAAUGGUCUGUGGUACCGCCUCUGCACCUUGGCCCAAGACCUAACAGCAACAAAAAUAAGUGUUUGCUUCUAGGAGGACCUACUCUCACCCCCCAUCGAAUGCACACAGUGCGGUUCCUAUACACACAGGUAACAAACUAGCAGAAAUUGCAGUGAUGGAGGAUAGUAGCAAGAUCGCCCUGUUUGCAGAGGAGCCUGACAGAGUUUUAUGGGGUGAUGGUAACUUGCUAUAUCUAGAUGCAUGGGGUGCUUGUGCUCAUUUAUUUUAGAAAUAUUCACUGACUCCUGGUGCUUGGGGUCAGAUAGACAGGUACCUGGCCCUAGCAUAUGGCUGAUUUCUAAUGGUGGGUAAGGAUCAGGGACCAGCAGUGACUGUGGGAGAUGAGUGAGGAGGCCACACAUGGAGUCAGAUCCUCCCUCAGGAUGCUAUGUCUCACGGACAGCAACCUCGUGCAGGAGGGCUCUGAGGAUCACAUAUUUCUUGAUCAGUCCUGUGAACUGCAUAAUCCUACUCCAGAUUUCUCACUGAGGGAUGGACAGGGCAGAGGCCAGCAGCUGGAGGACACCUUGAUCAUGGCUGGAGUGGAACAGUGGGCCUGGGAGAUUGAGUCAGAGAAAGGGAAAGGCAGAAGAUAGUGGCAAGGAUUUUGAGAGAUAAAGGGAAGAGGAGAGAAGGCAAUGUUUUCUACUGACUUCACCCACAUUUCUGUGUGAACAAAAGGAGAUUCUUGUCUCGCAGGGAAGGGAAGAGGGCUGG